rnacentral:tRNA from 1 species
AAAUAAGAAGCAAUAUUGCAUUUAAUUUCGACUUAAAAGAAAGAGUUUUAACCUUACUCCUUAUUUA